rnacentral:lncRNA from 1 species
GCUGUUCGGGGCCCGGCCUGCUCCGGGCCCUCCCAGCGUCGCCGCUAGCUGACUUAGGGCUCCCGCCCACACUGCGCACGGCCUUGCUGAGGGCCGGCUCGUAGUGGGAGGCUUCGCGUUCACCUGAACAUUUCCGCCUCCUCUGGAUGGGGGAUGAGAGGCGGGGCUGAUGCAUCGCAGCAGUCCUGGACCCUGACUUCGGACUUGGAGAAGAAACGCCGAGGAGGAACGGGAGUUAGGGGGUUAGCAGCUUGGCGCGCUGGGAGCCGGCCACCCCUGGUCUCCGGACUUCACUUCCCAGGAGGCCUCGCGCGCGACUGGAAGUGCUGCGAGCCUAUAAGAAGGCGAGGCGGCACCCGCCGCUCUGCUCUGGGGCGGCAUUGCCAGCCGGCUGUAGGCAUUCAGGGCAGUGUCUUCUGCAUCUCCUAGGAACCUCGGGAGCGGCAGCUCCGGCGCCUGGUAGCGAGAGGCGGGUUCCGGAGAUCCCGGCCUCACUUCGUCCCACUGUGGUUAGGGGUGAGUCCUGCAAAUGUUAAGUGAUUUGCUCAAGGUGCCCAUUUCGCAGGAAUUGGAGCCCAGGCCAGUUCUCUGAGCCUAUCAUUAGGGCUAAAGCCAGAGAACUGGGUGCAUCUGAGCCAGUGGAGAUUUGUGACUUCUCCUUCUU